rnacentral:rRNA from 1 species
CGUGUAGGCGGAGUGGCAAGUCAGAUGUGAAAUCCCCGAGCUUAACUUGGGAAUUGCAUUCGAUACUGGUUGGCUAGAGUGUGGGAGAGGAUGGUAGAAUUCCAGGUGUAGCGGUGAAAUGCGUAGAGAUCUGGAGGAAUACCGAUGGCGAAGGCAGCCAUCUGGCCUAACACUGACGCUGAGGUGCGAAAGCAUGGGGAGCAAACAGGAUUAGAUACCCCAGUA